rnacentral:tRNA from 1 species
GGGCUCAGUGGUAGAGUGCUUGCCUUGCAUGCAUGAGGCCCUGGGUUCGAUUCCUCAGUACCA